GUCCACGCCGUAAACGAUGGACACUAGUUGUUGGAAUUAUUCAGUGACUAAGCGAAAGUAAUAAGUGUCCCACCUGGGGAGUACGGUCGCAAGAUUGAAACUCAAAGGAAUUGACGGGGGCCCGCACAAGCGGUGGAGCAUGUGGUUUAAUUCGAUGAUACGCGAGGAACCUUACCAGGGCUUAAAUGUAGAGUGACAGGUCUAGAGAUAGAUUUUUCUUCGGACACUUUACAAGGUGCUGCA
rnacentral:rRNA from 1 species